rnacentral:rRNA from 1 species
GAUGAACGCUGGCGGCGUGCCUAAUACAUGCGAGUCGAGCGAACAGACGAGGAGCUUGCUCCUCUGACGUUAGCGGCGGACGGGUGAGUAACACGUGGAUAACCUACCUAUAAGACUGGGAUAACUUCGGGAAACCGGAGCUAAUACCGGAUAAUAUAUUGAACCGCAUGGUUCAAUAGUGAAAGACGGUUUUGCUGUCACUUAUAGAUGGAUCCGCGCUGCAUUAGCUAGUUGGUAAGGUAACGGCUUACCAAGGCAACGAUGCGUAGCCGACCUGAGAGGGUGAUCGGCCACACUGGAACUGAGACACGGUCCAGACUCCUACGGGAGGCAGCAGUAGGGAAUCUUCCGCAAUGGGCGAAAGCCUGACGGAGCAACGCCGCGUGAGUGAUGAAGGUCUUCGGAUCGUAAAACUCUGUUAUUAGGGAAGAACAAAUGUGUAAGUAACUAUGCACGUCUUGACGGUACCUAAUCAGAAAGCCACGGCUAACUACGUG